GGAGAAUAAGAGCUCGUAGGCUUCCUGUCGCGUCUGAUGUGAUCCCCGGGGCUUCCCCCGGGUCUGCAUUCUAUACGGGCAGGCUAGAUUUCGGAAGGGGAGAUCGAAAUUCCUGGUGUAGCGGUGAAAUGCGCAAAUAUCAAGAGGAACACCGGUGGCAAAGGCGGAUCUCUGGGCCGAUACUGACUCUGAAGAGCGAAAGCGUGGGGAACGAACAGGAUUACAUACCCUGGUAGUCCACGCCGUAAACGUUGGGAACUAGGUGGGGGCUACAUUCCACGUCGUCCGUGCCACAGCUAACACAUUAACUUCCGGGCCGGGGGAGUACGGACACAAAGCUAAAACUCAAUGGAAUUGACCGGGCCCCGCACGAGCAGCAUAUCAUGUGGCUUAAUUCAACGCAACGCCAAGAACCUUACCAAGGCUUGACAUACACUGGAAACAGGUGGAGAUGUCCGCCCCCUUGUGGUCGGUGUACAGGUGGUGCAUGGUUGUCGUCUGCUCGUGUCGUGAGAUGUUGGGUUAAGUCACGCAACGCGCGCAACCUUUGUUCUGUGUUGCCAUCGAUUUAUGUCGGGGACUCACAGGAGACUGCCAGGGUCGAGUCGGAGGAAGGUGGGGACGACGUCAAAUCAUCAUGCCCCUUAUGUCUUGUGCUGCACACGUGCUACAAUAGGACGGUACAAUGAGCUGCGAUACAUCAAGUAGAACAAAUCCCUAAAAGCCGAGUCUCAGUUUCUAAUUGGGGGUCUUGCAACUCGAAUCCAUGAUAAUCAGAGUCGAUAUUCAUCGCAGAUCAGUCUCGCUGCUGUGAAUACGCUCCCCGG
rnacentral:rRNA from 1 species